UGUCAAUGAUGUGAUGGCAUGUAUUAGCUGAAUCCAGAGUUGAUGUGUUACAGUUAAUCCUGAGACCUU
ensembl:snoRNA